AUUGAACGCUGGCGGCAGGCCUAACACAUGCAAGUCGAGCGGUAGAGAGAAGCUUGCUUCUCUUGAGAGCGGCGGACGGGUGAGUAAUGCCUAGGAAUCUGCCUGGUAGUGGGGGAUAACGUUCGGAAACGGACGCUAAUACCGCAUACGUCCUACGGGAGAAAGCAGGGGACCUUCGGGCCUUGCGCUAUCAGAUGAGCCUAGGUCGGAUUAGCUAGUUGGUGGGGUAAUGGCUCACCAAGGCGACGAUCCGUAACUGGUCUGAGAGGAUGAUCAGUCACACUGGAACAGAGACACGGUCCAGACUCCUACGGGAGGCAGCAGUGGGGAAGAUUGGACAAUGGGCGAAAGCCUGAUCCAGCCAUGCCGCGUGUGUGAAGAAGGUCUUCGGAUUGUAAAGCACUUUAAGUUGGGAGGAAGGGCAGUAAAUUAAUACUUUGCUGUUUUGACGUUACCGACAGAAUAAGCACCGGCUAACUCUGUGCCAGCCGCCGCAGUAA
rnacentral:rRNA from 1 species